AAUCCGUGUUGCGGGUAAUUUCUCAGGAGCUCCUUAAACCUUUCCCAUGCCUCAAAUAGAAAGUCCAAUUUUGACUGUACAAAGGGUGAGAUCUCAUUCGUAAGCUU